rnacentral:snRNA from 1 species
ACACAGAGAAUCUAACGAUU